GGCUCAGAUUGAACGCUGGCGGCAUGCCUUACACAUGCAAGUCGAACGGCAGCACGGACUUCGGGUCUGGUGGCGAGUGGCGAACGGGUGAGUAAUGUAUCGGAACGUACCGUUUCAGUGGGGGAUAACGUAGCGAAAGUUACGCUAAUACCGCAUAUUCUGUGAGCAGGAAAGCAGGGGAUCGCAAGACCUUGCGCUGAUUGAGCGGCCGAUAUCAGAUUAGCUAGUUGGUGAGGUAAAGGCUCACCAAGGCGACGAUCUGUAGCGGGUCUGAGAGGAUGAUCCGCCACACUGGAACUGAGACACGGUCCAGACUCCUACGGGAGGCAGCAGUGGGGAAUUUUGGACAAUGAGGGCAACCCUGAUCCAGCCAUGCCGCGUGAGUGAAGAAGGCCUUCGGGUUGUAAAGCUCUUUCGGCCGGGAAGAAAUCGCAUGGGCUAAUACCCUGUGCGGAUGACGGUACCGGCAUAAGAAGCACCGGCUAACUACGUG
rnacentral:rRNA from 1 species